AAAAAGACGAACCCCGUGUUCAAUAUUUGACCGUCCGUCUUAUUUAAAAAAAAUAUAAAAAAAAGUAAAAAAACAAGUCACGUAUAAAGUAUUAAUCAUGUUUUAUUAUCUAACAACAAUGAAAAUACUAAUUAUAGAAAAAAUCAUAUAAGACGGACAGUCAAACGUUGGACACGAAAAUUUAGGGUUUGUGUUUUU
rfam:Oryza meridionalis cultivar OR44 (W2112) chromosome 10, whole genome shotgun sequence.